rnacentral:lncRNA from 1 species
UCAGAGAAGCAGAUCGAGGGCUGUUGCAUAGAGACAGCCUCAUCUCAGAUCCCACCCUGCAUACUAAUCACAGCUUCCACUCCAGGGGCUGAGACAUGGCGUCAAGCUUGCAAGACUGGGCAGCCGUGGGCACCUGCUACUGUACCAGGGCCUUUAGAGGAUGUGUGGAAGACACGAUACUGCCGUGAUCGAAGAAAGAGAAGGACCAUCCUGCCCUUUUCAGAGAUGACAGGGGCUGGAAGUGGAUCGGUUUUCUUCGGGCUUCUGCACCUCCUGGCAAGCCCCCACCAAGUAUGGGAGGGGGCAGAAGUCGCCGAGCCCCUAGUUCGAUUAAAUGAGCCAUUUGCAAUAUAAAGUGACCCCUAGACGACAUCUGGUGGUGCCUAUCAGUAAGUGCCUAAACUUUAUGUCAAACUUUACGUCCGCAUCAAGCGAUUUCACUGCUUUGUAUUGCAUUGCCAUUAAUUGCGAUCACUGCUUUUCAGACAGAUCUACCUCAUAACCAAAGCCCUCAGGGACAUCUUCUGUUUUCCCUGGCCCCAAUCCACAGCAAGGUUGCCAGAAGUCCUCUUCAGCCCUAACGACGGUGCCCGGCACAUAGUGAGCACUGAACAAAGACCAUAAAACACAAAAAUUAACCAAAGACGGAUUACAGCGCCGGUCUAGGAGCUGCAGGACGUGGGUUCGAGUUUGAGCUGUGUCACUAACCUGCCGUGCGACCGUGGGUAAGUCACUUGCUUCUCUGUACCUCAGUUUCCCCAUCUUUAAAAUGGGGAUAGUAAUACCUGCCUUCUCUCCCUACCCCUCAAGAGUUGCGGUGAGGAUGGAAAUGAACUAAAUGCGGGAGAACUUUGGCAAUAAAAGUGCUAUAGAGAAUUGGGGCCCACUCGUCUGCUGUGUGAUUGCUUGUCUGCUGAGUAACCUUGGGCAAGCCACUUCCCUUCUCUGAGCUUCAGUUAUCUCUUCUGUAUAAUGGCCUCAUU